CUGCUCACUUCUUAGUUCGAAAAAUUCAGCUGUAGUUAAACAUGCGGAGUCUGCUUGUUUGAUGUUGCAUUUGAACCUGUUGCUACUUGAAGCGGAAUUACAUCUUCUGUUAUCGAGUCAGCUUCCUCCGAGAUUGUUGGGAGGCGGCCUGCUUCCGUCGAAGAGGUUUCGGUGCUGCUUGCGUCCUGGAGCAAGUCGUAUUUCGAUGUCGUCUGCAAUACUUUAAGACGUGUCCCGUCGCAUCACGGUCUCGAGGGCAGCAUGCGAGGAGUUUGCGUGCUUGCUGUUCAAAUAACUGUCUGUAACUGGUAGCAAUAUGAAUGUUUCCGAAAAAUAUUGGCGAUCGAUAUCCUCCUGGAGGAUCCCUGCUCCAGUUAACAAGAGAUCUUUACUGACUCGUUCCAUUAAUUUGACAUGUCUUCGUGACGCGUAUUGUAGCAGGCAAGCUAUAUGCCCAAAAGGCAUUUUUUACUUUUGGCAUAAGAAUAUCCUGUUGUAAGCACACCUGGGAGACGGUGAUAUUGGAGGUGGGUGGAGACGACGGGUUGUCGUGUUAAUUAAAACUAUAUCCUCAGUAAUAUAUGGAUAUAUUAUAACAAGAAUUAUGUAAGUAAAUCUAUACAGAAAUAGUUAUGCACAAUAUUA